rnacentral:tRNA from 1 species
GGUAGAAUGGCUGAGAUUUAGGUAAUAGAUUGUAAAUUUAUUUAGAAGGGUUUAACCCCUUUUCUACCA